rnacentral:rRNA from 1 species
GGUUUAGAACGUCGUGAGACAGUUCGGUCUCUAUCUACUGUGGGCGUUAGAAGUUUGAAUGGAUCUGACUCUAGUACGAGAGGACCGUGUUGGACGCACCUCUGGUGUAUCUGUUGUGGCGCCAGCUGCAUUGCAGAGUAGCUAUGUGCGGAUGAGAUAAGCGCUGAAAGCAUCUAAGCGCGAAACUCACCAUAAGAUGAGACUUCUUUUAAGGGCCGUGGAAGACGACCACGUUGAUAGGCUAUAGAUGUAAAGACGGUAACGUC